GGUGGCUCAGUGGUAGAGUGCUUGCCUUGCAUGCAUUAGGCCCUGGGUUCGAUUCCCCAGCACCA
rfam:Dipodomys ordii contig_92593, whole genome shotgun sequence.